rnacentral:pre_miRNA from 1 species
GGGUUCCUGGCAUGCUGAUUUGUGACUUAAGAUUAAAAUCACAUUGCCAGGGAUUACCA